UAUCUUCGCCACGAAGGCAGCCCAGCAUGCGACCUCCAUGUCUCUCUCGUUUCCUCUCCCAUGUGGAGGAGAGGAAGCGGCUACGAUCACACCACCGGCGCUGGGUCGAUGGUGUCCUGCCUCGGCAACCAGGAUUGGGCAAGGUAGAUGCGAAGCAGCGGCGCACCCUCUCCCCGAGCUCCAAAUCCAUGGAAGCAGCAACGAGGUGAGCAGCGGCAAAGGCGCCUCCGCAGAACUGGCGGUCGGCGUCUGGCCUCUGGCAGAAUUGUGUGGACUAGCAGCGGCCACAGCGAUGCAGAGAAGGUGGAGGCUAGGAGGCGGGCAAGAAAAAGGGGAUGGCGAGGCAGAGGAAGUGGUGGGCAAAGGCGGAGGGAAGGAGAUCGGACAAGCUGCAUCGGGAGAUGAGGAGGAGAUGGGUCGGAAGCAUGCAAAAUGAGGAGGAGCUGGGCGGCGAGGUCAUGGUGGCCGGAGGAACCAAGAUCGACACCUCCCCAUCUAGAUCUUCCGCGAGGGAAUAAGCCAGGCGAGAAAAUUGUGACAUAUCCUGUUCGUCCAGUAGAUACGUCAACAGAUUUUGAAGGAACAAAACGCCUUCAACCAACUCAGCCAGUAAUAGAAGCUCUGUUUCUGCCUAAAUCUUAAUUUUUCAAUCUCUAAGAAUCAGUUUUGACAAUGACAUGAAACUUGUAACUCAUAUCAGUUCAUUUUCAGCCACUACACUCUACUCAUGCAUCAACAUGUUCCAUAGAAAGCUUAUAGAGAACUGAACCAAAAGAAGCUUCUUUCAUUUUAUGAAUUUGUUGAAUCCUAAAAAAUGAGAAAUCUAUCUUAGGAAGUGUUUACCGCAUCGACACACAGCGUGUGCUUAGUCACAAUUUUACAUACGUCAUUGGGCAGUCACCAUCAUAUAAACUGAUACCAUUUCAUUUUCAUUCCCUGCACUCUAUCUUCCUGUUUGAUCCUACAAUUGGACUCAAUCAAUGUACUAUUACCUAUUCUUUUCACUGCGAGAUGCAUGCCUCAUUACCUAUAUGUGCCAUUCUGUAAAGGGAGUCCAGUACUAGCUAAUUCCACUUAUAGUACAA